AUUUGCCAAAAUAAAAUAAAAUAAAUCCUCUGUGGGCUGCAGUGGGCCAAGAACCAGCAGUUUGCUACCUCCACUUUAAAUCUCGGGCAUUGUGACCUGCCAGAGGCUUGGCAGCAGUGCUCACAAGAGGGGUGGGGGCUCCAUGACAACUUGACCAGCUGUGAUGCCUGCAGAGGCAGAGAGUACAAGGAAUCACUUUGUGAGGAACACUGAAGUAGAAUCCUACCUACAAGGAGAAGAAAGGGACUAUUGUUGGGGGCCAUGAGGAAAGGCCUCCCAGAUUGGGGUCAUGAGCUGAGAUUUCAAGGGUCAAAAGAUGCAAAAUGGGAAGGGAGAUAACGAGACAAAGUAUUCCAGGUACCUAGACUUCAGUUUCAAGUUGUAAAGCUAUCAUACACGUUCCAACUCAGAACCUGGAACUCACACCAAGACUUCAUGCCAUGCUAAUGUAUGAAAGAGCCUACACAACUUGCUCUGAACAUCUGAAUUUCAUAUGAUGGGAAAAAAACAUCACCUAAUGUUAUCUCUACUUCUAUCUUCAAGCUUAUUUCUAAAGUGUCUUCCUGAAGGCAACUCCUUGGGCCUACCAAUUACUAACUUUGGCUGAGUUGAUGUUUUAGAUGAUGUUUCGUUCAAUGAGAGACUGUAUAUACAAUGGUGGUCCCAUAAGACUAUAAUGAAGCUAAAAAAUUUC